AGAGGAAGGUCCCCCACACUGGUACUGAGACACGGGCCAGACUCCUACGGGAGGCAGCAGUGAGGAAUAUUGGUCAAUGGUCGGGAGACUGAACCAGCCAAGCCGCGUGAGGGAUGAAGGUACAGAGUAUCGUAAACCUCUUUUGUCAGGGAACAAAGGCGGGGACGUGUCCCCGGAUGAGUGUACCUGAAGAAAAAGCAUCGGCUAACUCCGUGCCAGCAGCCGCGGUAAUACGGAGGAUGCGAGCGUUAUCCGGAUUUAUUGGGUUUAAAGGGUGCGCAGGCGGUCUGUUAAGUCAGCGGUCAAAGCCCGGGGCUCAACCCCGGCCCGCCGUUGAAACUGGCAGUCUCGAGUUGGAGAGAAGUAUGCGGAAUGCGCGGUGUAGCGGUGAAAUGCAUAGAUAUCGCGCAGAACUCCGAUUGCGAAGGCAGCAUGCCGGCUCCACACUGACGCUGAGGCACGAAAGCGUGGGUAUCGAACAGGAUUAGAUACCCUGGUAGUCCACGCAGUAAACGAUGAAUGCUGGCUGUCCGGGGGGAUUGACCCCUGG
rnacentral:rRNA from 1 species